AGACCGCCGUGUAUCAAACACAACCAAAACUAAAUGGAAACCGCCAUCACCCAAGGCAACUGCUACAGAGCUGGCUGAUUGAUGAUUGAGUCAAUGGCAGUCAUUGGCUGAUUGAUAGCGGCAAAAAACUAGGUAUUGUAAAUAAUUCGUCGGUGCUGAUAUACACGGUAGACUUUUGGCUAGCAGCCCGAAGUCGGUGCGUGUCACCGGCAACAAUAUUCGCACUCAUGCACUUCAUUAAUAUUUUAUUGAUAGUAUUUUUCGUAUUUUUGCACA